GACUUUGUGGCCCAAUAGAUAAGGCGCUGGUCUACGAAACCAGAGAUUCUGGGUUCGAUCCCCAGCAGAGUCGAUUUUUUUUUUGCUUUGUUACAUGCUUUAUAUUGAUUAUGAUUAUUCAAUCUAAUGGCUAAAAUGCAAAUGACUCUGUGGCUCAAUGGAUAAGGCUUUGGUCUACGAAACCAGAGAUUCUGGGUUCGAUCCCCAGCAGAGUCGCUUUUUGUUAUUUUGUCAACUGUCACGUGUUUUAUAUCGUUUUAUUGUCGAAUCGAACAUCUUAAACCCGAAUGACUCUGUGGCCCAAUGGAUAAGGCGCUGGUCUACGAAACCAGAGAUUCUGGGUUCGAUCCCCAGCAGAGUCG
rnacentral:tRNA from 1 species